GCACAUUUACAGAAAACAACACAUGCAUGUAUGAGUGUAAUUUAAGGAGCAUCUACACAAGAUUAGAUAAUAGAUUGAAGCCAACUGUUUCUGUUAAUAAUAAGCCCAGCACCAAGAAAAUGCCGACUUCUUUUCAAACAUACAUGAAAGGAUCAACCUUUAUGCUCAAAGCAUGAUAAAUAUGACAAGAAAAAAUGACAAAAUAUGCAGUUUAUGCUUCUUUUAACCUUGAGCAUCUUCAAUCAUAAGCAAUUCUGAUGUGAUAGUUUAUACCUCCUUCCCCUCUUCUUCUUCUUGUUUAUGUUAUCAGGAAGAUGCUCUUCUCUUCCUCUCCCUGAUUUUUAUUUCAUUCAAAGCAACAUUCUACUCUAAAAUUGAUUCAUACUUUACCAUAGAGAUGGUGUUUCUUUUGUGUUGAUAGUUACUUGGCACAAGGGAGAAGAAAGCAUGAAUUAAACAUAAUUAACUUUUGAAGGGGAGAAAUAAGUUAUUUACUCUCUAAUGCUCUUUACACUGUUUUUGGAAGAUUUCAUUAGAUAGGAAAGGAUGAUGAUUAGUCCAUAAAAUACAAAAGAAAAGAAAUGAGAGGUUAGCAAUUUCUCAUGAUUGGAGGUUUUACGAUAUAGAAAAGAAUUUUAAGAAUUAAGGGUAAAAUAGUCAUGUUCAGAAAAAUAUUUGUAAACUUGACAGAGAAAUUUUAUUCCCUCAACUUUGACGGGAAAGCAAAGUAGGGUUUUCCCCUACAUUUUCUUUCUUUUCCAAAUUCAUCAAACUUCCAUACAAGCAAUAACUCUUAUCCCUUCAUGUUUUCCUUUCUUAUCCCCCCAUCCAAUCAAAGUAUUGGUGACACAGAAUUGUCAUCACAAGGUUCUCCUUUAGAUUG
rnacentral:misc_RNA from 1 species